GAUGUCUGCUCAGCACGAAAAAAGCACAUUUUUGCUGUUGCUGCAGUGCGCAUCAUGUGCCGUUGCCUACGUGAGCCGGAUGGCAUCUCGCAGCUUUUCAUUCAUGAAGACGUAGAUCCUGAAGACUUCCCUUCGACACCUUGUGUGCG